ensembl:lncRNA
UUGACCCUCAGGCAUGAAGUCUGAUUCCUAUGUCAUGCUUCUUGGCAUUUUGUCUUAGAAUUUCUAGUUGUUGUGAUAAGGAGAAGUUUUAGAUAACUUAGUAGAUUGAAUAUUAAGAUAGUUGUAGAAGCAAAAAUAAGAUUUGCUCGUCCUGUAACUCUCAUUGCUUAAGGUAAUCUGACUCUUUAACUAGUAACUUCAUUAACCUAACAGAGUUGCAAUGGGUGGCUGAAUUUACAAUGUAUAUGUGCCUAUCUUGUGUCUGUGACUUGUAAAUAGGAACUGGAAUUGUAUUUACACAUCAAAGACCACUAGGGAUGAGAUAAUGGCUAAAAAGGAUAUAAAAAGUUCCCACCCACUUGCAAGUAGAACUUUUAUUAUUUUAUCCGAAUUCUGUGUCUCCAUGUAUUUCUUUCUGAGAUUUCUGAAAUAUUUGGUUCCCUGACCGGGAAUCGGGAAUGAAAUAUCCCUUUUGAGCAUUAGCCUGAAUCCCACUGGAGGGAGUGGCUCUCCAUCUCCUCAAGAGGAAAGGCACACCCCUGGGACUAAUUUCCUAGGCUCCCCAACAGGACACACUUCCUGGCUGAGAUCACCCGAACCCAGGACGACAGAAGGAGGGCUGCUGCUGUUGGUGUCUCAUCUGUCUCUUUCCUUUGCUGGAUGGGAGCAGCUUCGUGGAAGAUGGAGUUUGUCAUGCUGGAUAUGAGGUAACCACAAAGAAUGAGGUGAUCCUAGCCGGAGCCCCUUCCUAGUUGGCACAGCAUGCUGAGCUCUGGGCACUCAUACAGGCACUCCGAUGGGCAAAGGGUAAAAAGAAACGAUUGAGGACAUUCACCAGCCAGACAGUCACAGAGUUCAUCAUGGCAGGGAACCAGCCAGUACGGCAAAAGGAAGAGGUCCCCACUUGCCACUGACCUCAUCAGAUCCAGGUCUAGCCCCGAUCUUCGCCCCUUGUCAGCAGAAAGCAGCUCCAAAAAAAGAGACCUUCGCCCAACUAUCAUAAAACAAAAGCCUGGAAUGAUAGGUCUCCCACCACCUCAGCAGCUAUUAAAUAUAGUAGCUGCCCUCUUCCUAUGGUGCCUUGCCCCCUCCCCUGUGUGACAUCAUGCCAAGAUGGUUGCUCCCACCAAAGAACAAACCCUUCUUCCCAGCAUGCCCCUGUUCCCACCUAGACAGUAACCUAAUACUCGCUCACCUCCUACCACCUAGUGACAUCACCGGCUCCUCCAUUCCCUAGUCACUACCUCAUUCAACCCUGCCUCAGCCCCUACAAGCCCCACCCCAGUCUCUAUAAAAGACUCUCCCUGCCCCAGCCAUAUUGCUUUUGUCUCUCCUUUGUUCAGAGACAGCCCGGCAGAUCUAUUCCCCUAAUAAAGGCUUGUUGUGGCCUGGUCUGGUCUUGGUCUUCGGCCCUUUUACCUGACAGUGAGUAUGGGGUAUCCUUUUAGGUUUUAGGUACAAAAUGAGACCCUAUCUCAAAAAAACAAAAAAGAGAAACAUAUGUACCACUCCCAUUUAUGGGUUGGGACCCUGGUAUCUAGUAGUUCUUUGUUUUUUUACCUGUAAUGCUGCUACUAAAUGGACUUUCCCCCUAGAGUCCUUAGUACUCUUCUGCUUUUGCUCUGUCACUGCUGCACACAUUAAUGUAUUUUGUAAUCCAUAAUUUUUAUUGUCAAUGAUGUUGUCUGUAUUGUUGACUACCUUGUAUAGAGUUUUCUCUUUACUAACAGAAGACCUAGAGGAAAGAACAAACCCAUUUGUGUAUUUUUCUUGGUUCUUCCCUUCUCUUCCUCCAUGACUAGCCCUGUACCAAAUCCUUGCCAUAUCUGACUAGAAGGCUGUCCUCAACUUGAGGCAACUUAGUGGGCCACCACUAUUUCCCUAGCCUGUCAUACCUCCAGAAGUGCUGACUCUUUUAAUAGGCCUCAGAUGGGACCACAGUGGUAGGUUUUCUCCUAAGACACCAGGGAGCUCUUCCUUUGAUUCAGAUAGCAACUAUGGAUAUCUCAGACCCUGGAUUGCUUUUUAUUUUAUUGUACUGGGAACUGAACUCAGGACCUUGCACUUGCCAGGCAAGCGUGGCACCACUGAGCUACAUCCUUAGUCCUGGAUUGCUUUUAAUCACAGCUAAAAAUCUAUCUAAUUUAGGUCCUUUUGUACAGAUGACGAUUUUCAGGCAGUUUAUUCUCUUAAGCACAGAGACUUUGCAAGUGCUAGAAAGAGAGUUUGUCUUCCCUGUUUCAAACCAUAAAGACUUCAAUACUCUGAUUUCCUAUGAGGGAGAAGCUGAGCUGGACCUAGAUGUAACAUGGUCCCAAAGACUUGACUCAGAAACAGUUUCAAUUAAGUGUUCUUAAGUCACCUUCUGUUUAUGUCUCAAGUCUACAAAAAAAAUGUGUGGGUUUCAUGCCCUUUAAUUAUUUGGGGAAAAAAACUUCCAUAGAAAUAUAAGAUACAUAUUUUAUGAGCAACUUGGGGUUUUUUAAUAUGUAAAUCCUACUAAAGACUAUGGUUUAUUUUUUGUGUACUGCUGGAUUGCAUAACAUACAGAAAACUCUCUGGCGUUUUACUUCACAAGAAAACAAGAGACAAUGUGAUUCUAGAAGUAGCAGAGGAAGUAGGGAUACAUUAAAUCAGUCGAGCUAAGGCCACGUAACUUCAGAGGUGAACAGCAAAAGAUCUGAGGGCUGCACCUCCAAGGGAUGAAACGACUCAGCCUCCUGCCUACUACUCUCCCACCACAAGAUGGCAGGAUUCCCCUUGCCCGAAAUCUUCCAUAAAAGGAUAAGUGAUUUCCAGAGUGUGUAUCUUCUUUUGUGCUUAAUAAUGGUGUCAGACUGUCUUGUGUAUGACAUCAUCUAUGUUUCUAGGAAC